rnacentral:rRNA from 1 species
CAAGACCUUGCGCUCUUGGAGCGGCCGAUGUCUGAUUAGCUAGUUGGUGAGGUAAAGGCUUACCAAGGCGACGAUCAGUAGCUGGUCUGAGAGGACGACCAGCCACACUGGGACUGAGACACGGCCCAGACUCCUACGGGAGGCAGCAGUGGGGAAUUUUGGACAAUGGGGGAAACCCUGAUCCAGCCAUGCCGCGUGAGUGAAGAAGGCCUUCGGGUUGUAAAGCUCUUUCAGCCGGAACGAAACGGUCACGGCUAAUACCUGUGAUCACUGACGGUACCGGAAGAAGAAGCACCGGCUAACUACGUGCCAGCAGCCGCGGUAAUACGUAGGGUGCAAGCGUUAAUCGGAAUUACUGGGCGUAAAGCGUGCGCAGGCGGUUUUGUAAGUCAGAUGUGAAAUCCCCGGGCUUAACCUGGGAACU